CCCUAAUAUUUUGAUGGAUUUUCUCAACCCGGAUCCCACAUCACAUAUUGGUAUUUCCUCAUUUUAACAACUGGCCCAAAUACCAGCCCAAUAGUAUAAUUGGUGAAGGACCUGUUCAUAACAGAUUUCAAAUUGCACAGUAAAAAACAAUGUACAAAAGGGAAAGAAGAAUCAGAGAAUCAAAUUGAAUCGUUAAAUGGAGAACAAGGAAAGUUUGAAGCUUGCAGUUAAGCUCACUAUAGCUACUUGCCUCACAGUAGCCAUUUCCAUAUUCAUAGCAAAGAGCUUCCAGAAAGUUCGAAAACACAACAGGAAAAAGCAACAAAAGAAACACUCCUGUUAUCUAAAUGCAGAAAUCAAACCUCAAUCUUCAUUCAAACGAGUUUUUGCCGAUAACUCAUAUUCUCAAUUCAAACACCUCAAGCUUGUCAACAGCAAUGAGGAUUGUACAAAUUUUCAUCCGUAUAAGGCGGAGAUUACGGAGUUGUUGAAGAGUUCAAAUGUUGAAUUUUUGGAGCUUUUUGGUAGAAAUUUUGAAGAUUUGACGAUGCGCGAAUUGUAUGUAUGGGUUGAGAGUGAGUCUCAAUUACGGGAGCUUGCGGAGGUUUUGAGCAAGGAGAGAGUGUUUGCAGUUGAUACAGAGCAGCAUAGCUUGAGAUCAUUUCUCGGCUUCACAGCUCUAAUUCAGAUAUCAACUGGAAGCGAAGAUUAUCUUGUGGAUACCAUAGCUUUGCAUGAUGUAAUGGGAAUUCUUCGGCCCGUAUUUGCUAAUCCAGGAAUUUGCAAGGUAUUCCAUGGUGCUGAUAAUGAUGUUCUUUGGCUUCAAAGGGAUUUCCACAUUUAUGUUGUUAAUUUAUUUGACACUGCAAAGGCUUGUGAUGUGUUGUCUAAACCACAAAGGUCUUUGGCGUAUUUGCUGGAUUUGUACUGUGGCAUUGUUGCAAAUAAACUAUUACAGAGAGAAGACUGGAGGCAACGUCCACUACCAGCUGAAAUGGUGCAAUAUGCUCGAACUGAUGCACACUAUUUGUUGUACAUCGCGCAUCGUCUUUCUUCCGAACUCAAAGAACAGGAUACUGAAAAUUCAUCAAGUCUCAGAGAGGACAAAUUUAGCUCUGUGCUUGAGGCCAACCGGCGUUCCAAUGCAAUUUGCUUACAACUUUUCUCAAAAGAGACUGAUGCUUACCCAGGAGAGUCUGUUGCAUCAUCUAUAAUCUCUCGUUAUCAGAGUGAUCAAGGAAGUUCCAUGUCAAGUUCUGAUGAGAUGAAGUUUCAUGACCUCGUGAGAAGAUUGUGCACUUGGAGAGAUAUAAUGGCUCGUGUACAUGAUGAAAGCUUGAGAUAUGUUUUAUCUGAGCAUGCCAUUACUGCGCUUGCUGCUAAAGUUCCUAUAACAGAAAUGGGUUUAUACAACACCAUAUCUGAAGCCGAUCAGAAUCCAGACUCUCCGAGUAUUAGUAGUUCAUUUCAAUCUCCUUCACCCGUAGUUUGCAGUCACUUGGAUGACCUCAAGUACUUGUUUUUAGAUGAAACAGGAAAGGAUGACGAUGAUUAUAAGUUAAUUAUUCAAAAAUGCCUGGGCUCUGAUGGGAGUUGUCCUCUUUCUGUAUACAACUAUGCUCUACUAUCCAAAACUAGCUUGAAGAUGCCAGUUAAAUCAGCUUUCAAACAAAAUGGACAGAAAAAUUCCAAGCAAUUUGCUAAGAAGGCUUCUCGGCAGUUGUUUGUCCAAAAAUUUUCGUGCAAAGCCCCCGUUUACCAUAAUUGUAGGAUUUACGCAAAUGAUGGACGAUUAUUAUGUUAUUGUGAUCGUCGAAAACUUGAAUGGUAUAUCAACCGAAAUUUGGCGAAACUUAUUGAAGAGGACCCUCCUGCUAUAAUGCUUCUUUUUGAGCCUAAAGGUCGCCCUGAAGAUGAGGGUAAUGACUUUUACAUUCAAAGUAAGAGAAAUAUUUGUGUUGGCUGUGGUGAAGGAAAUCACUAUUUACGUUAUCGAAUCAUACCUUCAUGCUAUAGAAUGCACUUCCCUGAGCAUUUAAAGAGCCAUCGCUCUCAUGACAUCGUCCUUCUUUGUGUGGACUGCCAUGAAAUUGCUCAUGCUGCUGCUGAGAAGUAUAAGAGAAAGAUAGCUACAGAAUUUGGAAUACCUCUUUUUGUUCGUCGAGUAGUUGAUUCUAAUCAAAAUCAGAAUACAUCAGAGUCAUCUGUGCCAAAGUUAAGUGUAAAGGACGAAGGAGUAUCUCCUUUGCAGUUGCGUACAGCAGCUAUGGCAUUGCUACGUCAUGGAUCUAGAAUGCCAGCUAAGCGUCGAGAAGAGUUAAUAAUGAUUAUCAGGAAUUAUUAUGGUGGACGGGAAAUUUCUGAUGAAGAUCUGGAAAGAGCUAUGUUAAUUGGGAUGAGUCCUAAUGAGAGAAGGCGAUUUGAGAAACAGAGAAAAUUAGCUUGCAAAGAUUCUAAUAGAAGUAUAACACCAGAUGGUGAGCUAGAUAAUAAGCAAGCAAAAGGGACAUCUCUGCCAGAGGAAGUCUCAGAUAACUCGAGCAAUUGUGAAGAAAGUACCAAUGUUUUAACAGUAGAGGACAAUAAUGUUAGCAAUCACUCUUCAUACCCGAAUUUUGGGGUCAAUAGUGAGUACUCUGUUAUUCGUAAAAAUGAUUUCCCGCACGGAAGAGAAUCCCUAGUGAAACAUGAUGAUGUUCUUCCGGAUUCCUGUGAUGAUGAAAGCUGCAAUGUAUCUAAUGGAAUGGCCAAUUCUGUUGAUAAUAUGAAUACUAAUGCAUCAUCCAGAAACUCGAAGCUCUCGCUAUUAGGGCAUGGACCACAUGGGAAGCAAGUUGUUAAUCAUAUACUCAAGGAGCAUGGGGAUGAAGGAAUUAGUCAAUUUUGUCAGCGAUGGAGACAAGUUUUUGUUGAAGCUGUUCAUCCACGCUUCUUACCUGGUGGCUGGGAUAUAAUGCACAGUGGUAGAAGAGACUUUGGGGAGUUCAGCGUCUACAAACCUGGGAAAAGAACUCCGACAUCUACUCCUGAGCAGUAGUGAUUACGAUAUAAGGGAAAGAAACAGUGUGUCAUCGGACAUAUACAUCUCUGUGUGGCCAUCCAUGAUGCAAAGUUAGAUUGUCGAGCUCGUGACCCAGAGACCGAUCAAGAUUGAGAUUGACCAAGAUCAAGGAAAGCUUACCGAGCCAAAUAACGGAAAGCCAAAAUAUCCGUAAUAACGAGGAUCACGGCGAAAAUUCCGGCACGUAUCAAUAAGAGGCCAAUCAUGAGAUUUCUUACCUCAUAUAGAAUUGUGUCAAGAGUAGGACUCCCCUACUAUAUAAAGGGGGUCUAAUUAUUUGUAAACGACAUCAUAUUCACGCAAUACAAAGCAAUAUACUGUCAUUUUCUAGCUUUCAUUAUCUUGUUAUUAUGUUCAUAAGCCAGUUGAAUCAUCUUUUGGUUCAAGGGUGACUGAACUCGAGGGACAAUGCUAUUCAAUUUGUGUGGUUUGCAUUUA